AUUGAACGCUGGCGGCAGGCCUAACACAUGCAAGUCGAACGGUAACAGGAAGCAGCUUGCUGCUUUGCUGACGAGUGGCGGACGGGUGAGUAAUGUCUGGGAAACUGCCUGAUGGAGGGGGAUAACUACUGGAAACGGUAGCUAAUACCGCAUAACGUCGCAAGACCAAAGAGGGGGACCUUCGGGCCUCUUGCCAUCGGAUGUGCCCAGAUGGGAUUAGCUAGUAGGUGGGGUAACGGCUCACCUAGGCGACGAUCCCUAGCUGGUCUGAGAGGAUGACCGGCCACACUGGAACUGAGACACGGUCCAGACUCCUACGGGAGGCAGCAGUGGGGAAUAUUGCACAAUGGGCGCAAGCCUGAUGCAGCCAUGCCGCGUGUAUGAAGAAGGCCUUCGGGUUGUAAAGUACUUUCAGCGGGGAGGAAGGGAGUAAAGUUAAUACCUUUGCUGAUUGACGUUACCCGCAGAAGAAGCACCGGCUAACUCCGUG
rnacentral:rRNA from 1 species